CUCCACACAAGAUGGCGAGAGCUCGGCCGCUGCAGCUGCAGCCGCCGCGGCGUCACGGCUUCCUGGGCGCGGCGGGCGAGGGUCGGGAGAGACCGGCCUUUGACGGGGCCGAGCUCAGGGAAACACGGGGUUGCUUUCGGGACGGAGGGACGGACGGAUGGACGGACGGGCGAGAGGGCUUGCCUGCAGAGCUGACGAGACCGCUGGGGAAAUGAAUGGCGGUGGCCGAGGACUGUCGCCCUUGCCUUCGUUCGUCCCUUCGGAGCUGGGCUGACGGGUCCCGGGCCGGAGGGGACGUCUGCUGACUGCUGACCUCGGACACACUCGGAGGGCAGCCUGCGCGGGUCCGGAAGCUGAGCUGGGAUGGCCGGGAGGACGCUGCGAGGCCAGGGCGUGCAGAAAAGUGGGGCCUUUGGGGCCGAUGCUGUCUGAGAGGGAGCGGGAAGGGGCACCGGGGGAAGCAGUGAGCCGGGAGCGCGCCCUCGGUCGUGGGCUAUCAAACCCGGAGUGCAGGCGAGGUGACCCUUUGCUCCUGCCCGCAGUGGCACUCUUCUAGAAAGAAGGGCGGAUCGCCUCUACCAGUGAGGGCUCGCUGUGCAAAUGGGAGACCCGUAGAUUCUCCUGCCUGACCCUUACUGCAGAUAUUUGUGCGUUUGUUUCUAUGAUUCUCGGAUCCUGAUGUCUUAUCCUUAACCUAGAAAGUCGUCUUGUUCCAAGCAAAACAAACUUUUUUGUUUGUUAAGUAAAAAUCGAGCUGGGCCGGAGAAAGUUAAAAA
rnacentral:lncRNA from 1 species